rnacentral:lncRNA from 1 species
ACAUUCCAAAUGAACAUAGUUCAACUCUAGCUGCACAAGUUACAGAUUCCCUAGGUUACUAAAAAGACCUGAUGUUUUAUUCCUCCAACAGAAGCUCUUAAAAAUUAAAGAAGCUCAAAGAAAAAGAAACAGUUAAUGGCAUAGAGUGAUUCCAAGUGAAAGAACAAAAUCUCUUCAACCUAUUCUCUCCAAACACCAGGUGAAAGAAAUAAAACAUUUUAAGCUUCAAAAAGCUGGAAAAGUGAGCUCUCAGAGGUCCAGUGAGGGAAUCCUUCCCAAAGUUUGUUAACAACCAGGCUUGGAGAAGAGAAGCCCACUUGAUUGCACUGAAUGCAACCAAGAUGA